GUAUAAUAAUAAUAAAAAAGAAAAGAAAAGAAAACAAAACAAAACAAAAACACACAGUCUGACUCUUGGAACCUUUGCAUGAGCUGACCCGAGAUGGCUCUGUGCCUUUACCCUCACUACUCUUACCAGGCAAAGGGGCUUCCUUCUUGUUUCUCAAACAGGCCAAGCACACUCCUGUUUCAGGACUUCUGCACCUGAAGUUGCCCAUGUUUGGAAAGUUCUUAGCAGGCACAUGCAUGCUCCCCUCCACCUUCCACCACAAUUGGAAGCUUCCUGAGGCCCUUAUCAUAAGCAGAUGCUGGCACUAUGCCUCAUUUUAUGUACAGCCUACAGAAUUGUGAACCAAAUAAAUCUCUUUUGUUAGUAAAUGACCCAACCUCAGGUAUUCCUUUAUAGCAACACAAAACAGACUAGGACAAAUAGUAUCUAACAUCGAGUAGGCUUACUAUAAAUAUUUGUGAAGUUAAUGAGUCCUUAGACUCUAAACCAUUUUCUAUAGAUUGUGUCCAAGAGAUGUUUGAUUAAUACAAGUUUUUGUACAUUGGAAAACUACUUACUUAUAAUAAAUGACUUAGUUGACCUGAAGAAACUAAAUCCUAGACCCAGCAGUGGGGAAAACUGAGAACCAAACUAAUUAUACUACAAAACCCCAAGAAGGCUCAGAAAUUGAUGGCAGUGAAUACCUUUGGAAGUGAGGGCAAAUGAGGUGGCACUAAAAUAAAGAUGCAUUGGUGGAAAGU
rnacentral:lncRNA from 10 species